rnacentral:misc_RNA from 1 species
ACAAACUUGGUCAUUUAGAGGAAGUAAAAGUCGUAACAAGGUUUCCGUAGGUGAACCUGCGGAAGGAUCAUUAGCGAGUGUAAACCCUGGACUGUUGCUGGCCUUUCUUCUUGAGGCAUGUGCACGUCUAGACUCGUCCAACUCACCCUUGUGCACCUCUCGAGGCUCGAGGGCGUUAAAGCCCUUUAUCAGCCUCGCUCUUUCAUACAAACCGAUUGAGUGAUUUAGAACGUAUAUAGUGCUUUAAUGCAAAACAUUAACAACUUUCAACAACGGAUCUCUUGGCUCUCGCAUCGAUGAAGAACGCAGC